UGAGUUCUGGAAAGGGAGACAGAAACUUGCCUGAAGCGAUGAGGGAAGGACCUUUCCCACCAUACACCCUAUAUUUUUAAAGCACAAGUACAAAUCUUUUAGCUGCUCUGCCCUGCCAAGAAACCCUGACUCACCUUUUCUGCCCCGAUCCAUCUCCUAGGAAAAGAUAAUAUUUAUUGAUUAUUUCCUAUGUGCAUGUGUUGUGAUAAUCAUGGUUAAUAAGUUUGUGUGCGCCAAACUGAAUGCCACUUUUUCAGAUGCGGAAGCUCGAUUUAUCCCAAGUAACAGCUUAAGAGAAGGAAUGCAGUUGACCCAGAUUGCUUUUCUGCUAAACCCAUGCUCUUUAAAUCUAACAAGAGAUCCAAAACUGUGAUGGUGGGUGACAGGUUAACAGGAAGGGUCUAUGUGAUUCAGCUGGAGGUUGCCCAGUGUUCA
rnacentral:lncRNA from 1 species